UGGGGAAUAUUGGACAAUGGGCGAAAGCCUGAUCCAGCCAUGCCGCGUGGGUGAAGAAGGCCCUAGGGUUGUAAACCCCUUUCAGCGGGGAAGAUAAUGACGGUACCCGCAGAAGAAGCCCCGGCUAACUCCGUGCCAGCAGCCGCGGUAAUACGGAGGGGGCUAGCGUUGUUCGGAAUUACUGGGCGUAAAGCGCGCGUAGGCGGACCUGCAAGUCGGGGGUGAAAGCCCGAGGCUCAACCUCGGAACUGCCUUCGAUACUGCGGGUCUCGAGUCCGGGAGAGGUGAGUGGAAUUCCUAGUGUAGAGGUGAAAUUCGUAGAUAUUAGGAAGAACACCAGUGGCGAAGGCGGCUCACUGGCCCGGUACUGACGCUGAGGCGCGAAAGCGUGGGGAGCAAACAGG
rnacentral:rRNA from 2 species